AUAGACCCUGUGAUUCCCCGUGGAGACCUGAUGGCUGAGUUGCUUCCAGUCCCUUUUGUGCUCACACCUAGAACUUCUCUAAGAGGCAAGAUGGAGCGAAGCUGUGGGAAACUUCCAGCUCCACUUUCCUAUGUACCUGUGCCUAUGACAGGACUAACAGACAGAAUGACCUUUCAGGAAAGAUUAAAAAUCCAAUGCUUUCAGUUUUCUUCCACUUCUGGAUUCAGGAUUAUGACCAUCAUUUUUGGGAAGAGUGUUAGAGUAAGGCAUCAGGAGAUCAUCAGUCACCGGUCUGAUUGCCCACUAGAAGACUUCGUGUGAAUACUGACAAAACCACAGGGAAGAGACGUCCGCGUCGGAGACCACCCUCCUACCUGCAAACUUCCAGAAACAAAACAGACAAAACUUUGUGAUGAUAAAUAUCACAGUUGCCACACAGGCCAGCAGAAACCCAAUCACAUCCAAAGAGUGGUACUGGAACCAGGCACCUAUGAUGUUGAGACAAGUUCAUCCAGAAAGCUUUACUGAUUUGCUUGUCAUAAGGCAGACAUCAUCUGCUCUAAUAGUUU
ensembl:lncRNA novel transcript, antisense to UGT2B11